rnacentral:rRNA from 1 species
GACAGAGGGUGCAAACGUUGUUCGGAUUUACUGGGCGUAAAGCGCGUGUAGGCGGCCUUGCAAGUCGGAUGUGAAAGCCCACGGCUCAACCGUGGAAGUGCAUCCGAAACUGCAUAGCUUGAGUCUCGGAGAGGAAGGUGGAAUGCUUGGUGUAGAGGUGAAAUUCGUAGAUAUCAGGCAGAACACCUGCGGCGAAGGCGGCCUUCUGGACGAUGACUGACGCUGAGACGCGAAAGCGUGGGGAGCAAACAGG